UCUUACAAAUGAGCAAAGAAAGUGGUUUCUUGAGAUGGAAACUACUGCUGGGGAAGAUGUUGUGAG
rnacentral:pre_miRNA from 2 species